CGGACGGGUGAGUAACGCGUGGAGAACCUGCCGUAUACUGGGGAUAACACUUAGAAAUAGGUGCUAAUACCGCAUAAGCGCACAGCUUCGCAUGAAGCAGUGUGAAAAACUCCGGUGGUAUACGAUGGAUCCGCGUCUGAUUAGCUGGUUGGCGGGGUAAAGGCCCACCAAGGCGACGAUCAGUAGCCGGCCUGAGAGGGUGAACGGCCACAUUGGGACUGAGACACGGCCCAAACUCCUACGGGAGGCAGCAG
rnacentral:rRNA from 1 species